ensembl:lncRNA
CAUUUACCGUAUAUUCAUUAACGUUUGGUCCAAGUCAUGACGAGAAGUGGCGGUGGAGACUUAGCUCCAGCGCACCUUGCCAGCCAACCCGGCUUUGUUUUAUUAAGCUACAUGUUUCCAAACAUCCACCACCUUCCUCCCAGUUCGGCUUCCUCAUUCGACGUCAUUUCCGGGCCCAGAAACCUCCCGUUCAUUUCCAGAUAGAGAUAGCGGAUUCCGGAUUAAGCGAAGGCCGUCGCCUUCAGGCGAGAUGAUGCAUUUGACGGCGGAGACGUUCCACGAACACGCAGCAAAACGCAGUUUGGUGCACUUGGAAAAAUAAAGGCGAGAUGCAAUUUCAGCCGCCGUUUAUUCAAAAGAUCCGUAGCAACGGGUCAGAAACAGCAGAGCGGCUGCAGGAGCGUCCAUGGUGGCUAAACCCAGAUCUUCCUGUCAGUUUUUUUUUUUUUUUACUAUGUUUGCGUGCCAUCCCAUAACCAAAAUACCAUCAUGUUUGCGUCACUGCGUUGGCAUGCUCCAAGACUGAUGGAGCAUGUUUGCUCGUUUUCCUCAUCAGCCGCAGCAGACCACCAUGAAGAGGGGAGGAGAGGCCGAGAGGCACUAAGCGUGUAAAACGACCAUAUGUGUGAGCACGAGUGUGGGCACAGAGAAAUGAUAUGCCUGUGGUUCUGCCUGGGCUUAUGUGAGUCUGUGGGAGGCAGAGUAUUAUGACUCCGAUCAUACUGCAGUGUGUUUGUGUGACGGCUCCAUGCAUGCGAGGGUGCGCACUUUUUCCACAGGCCGUCACUGGCGCUGCCGCGGAGUCUUCGGUGACUUACCCUGCCUGUCUGUGCAGUCAGCCAGAGAAAGAGGGCUUGGGGGAUGGGUUGCCAGGGCCUGGUGAGUCCAGCCAUGCUCUACAACUGCGACCAACAGAUGGAAGGGAAAUGGGGUUACCAGCUUGGGCUUAUCUUCUCUUUGUGGGCCAGACUGACCCCCACACAAACACAAUUGCCCAUCCCUUGAUUUGCCCAUAACACCAGGCUUAAAUCUCCAUCAUUUGUGUCUUUUCACAGCAGUUUAUUAUGUGGAAUGUGGAAGGCCAUAAAAAAAAGAGAUGACACCGUAACAAACUAUUAACAGAUGUAGGAAAAGUUAUCAAGGUGUAUGUAUUUACUAAACUGAUCGUGGGGCCAGCAUAUGGUUUGUAGGGGCGUGAGAAGAAAGAAAGAAACCAUUUGGUUGCAAUUUGCAAUCUCACCACUAGAGAAUUAACUGCUUAUUUUACUUUUUGGUUGUUUUUCGUGAGUUGAGCUGAGUUCUAUUUAGUCUUGGCUGAACAUCCAGGCUACAGUUUAAUUAAGUAUGUAUGUGAUGGAAGAGGACUUGAAUAAAUCUAAAAUAAUCUUUUUGUGCCUCGGGCCCGACGCUGCUGUCAAACAUCGAUGCCAGACUAACUAAAUUAGUGCUAAUUUGCUUCCUUAACUUCUUAGCUUCACCCACUGACAUUUUUAUGUUGUCCAAACUCAAGGUUAAUAUGAUUAAAGGUUGCUCCAAAAAACCACAUCUACAUUUUUUUUUAAAAAGAAGUCAACUGUACAUUAAAAUUGAGUAAUAAAUAACUUACUUCUUCAGAACAAUCAUUUAAUUGCCUCUCUUGAUUCUAAU